rnacentral:rRNA from 1 species
GGGUUGUGAGGUUAAGCGACUAAGCGUACACGGUGGAUGCCCUGGCAGUCAGAGGCGAUGAAGGACGUGCUAAUCUGCGAAAAGCGUCGGUAAGGUGAUAUGAACCGUUACAGCCGGCGAUGUCCGAAUGGGGAAACCCAGUGCAAUUCGUUGCACUAUCGUUUGAUGAAUACAUAGUCAAACGAGGCGAACCGGGGGAACUGAAACAUCUAAGUACCCCGAGGAAAAGAAAUCAACCGAGAUUCCCCCAGUAGCGGCGAGCGAACGGGGAGCAGCCCGGAGUCUGAAUCAGCUUGUGUGUUAGUGGAAGCGUCUGGAAAGUCGCAGGGUACAGGGUGAUACUCCCGUACACUAAAACACACAGGUUGUGAACUCGAAGAGUAGGGCGGGACACGUGGUAUCCUGUCUGAAUAUGGGGGGACCAUCCUCCAAGGCUAAAUACUCCUGACUGACCGAUAGUGAACCAGUACCGUGAGGGAAAGGCGAAAAGAACCCCGGCGAGGGGAGUGAAAAAGAACCUGAAACCGUGUACGUACAAGCAGUAGGAGCCCACUAGUUGGGUGACUGCGUACCUUUUGUAUAAUGGGUCAGCGACUUAUAUUCUGUAGCAAGGUUAACCGUAUAGGGGAGCCGCAGGGAAACCGAGUCUUAACUGGGCGUUAAGUUGCAGGGUAUAGACCCGAAACCCGGUGAUCUAGCCAUGGGCAGGUUGAAGGUUGGGUAACACUAACUGGAGGACCGAACCGACUAAUGUUGAAAAAUUAGCGGAUGACUUGUGGCUGGGGGUGAAAGGCCAAUCAAACCGGGAGAUAGCUGGUUCUCCCCGAAAGCUAUUUAGGUAGCGCCUCGUGAACUCAUCUUCGGGGGUAGAGCACUGUUUCGGCUAGGGGGUCAUCCCGACUUACCAACCCGAUGCAAACUACGAAUACCGAAGAAUGUUAUCACGGGAGACACACGGCGGGUGCUAACGUCCGUCGUGAAGAGGGAAACAACCCAGACCGCCAGCUAAGGUCCCAAAGUCAUGGUUAAGUGGGAAACGAUGUGGGAAGGCCCAGACAGCCAGGAUGUUGGCUUAGAAGCAGCCAUCAUUUAAAGAAAGCGUAAUAGCUCACUGGUCGAGUCGGCCUGCGCGGAAGAUGUAACGGGGCUAAACCAUGCACCGAAGCUGCGGCAGCGACACUAUGUGUUGUUGGGUAGGGGAGCGUUCUGUAAGCCGUUGAAGGUGGCCUGUGAGGGUUGCUGGAGGUAUCAGAAGUGCGAAUGCUGACAUAAGUAACGAUAAUGCGGGUGAAAAACCCGCACGCCGGAAGACCAAGGGUUCCUGUCCAACGUUAAUCGGGGCAGGGUGAGUCGACCCCUAAGGCGAGGCCGAAAGGCGUAGUCGAUGGGAAACAGGUUAAUAUUCCUGUACUCGGUGUUACUGCGAAGGGGGGACGGAGAAGGCUAUGUUGGCCGGGCGACGGUUGUCCCGGUUUAAGCAUGUAGGCGGAUGUUCCAGGUAAAUCCGGAACGUUAUUAACGCUGAGGUGUGAUGACGAGGCACUACGGUGCUGAAGUGACAAAUGCCCUGCUUCCAGGAAAAGCCUCUAAGCAUCAGGUAACAUCAAAUCGUACCCCAAACCGACACAGGUGGUCAGGUAGAGAAUACCAAGGCGCUUGAGAGAACUCGGGUGAAGGAACUAGGCAAAAUGGUGCCGUAACUUCGGGAGAAGGCACGCUGAUGGUAGGUGAAGUGACUUGCUCAUGGAGCUGAAAUCAGUCGAAGAUACCAGCUGGCUGCAACUGUUUAUUAAAAACACAGCACUGUGCAAACACGAAAGUGGACGUAUACGGUGUGACGCCUGCCCGGUGCCGGAAGGUUAAUUGAUGGGGUUAUCCGUAAGGAGAAGCUCUUGAUCGAAGCCCCGGUAAACGGCGGCCGUAACUAUAACGGUCCUAAGGUAGCGAAAUUCCUUGUCGGGUAAGUUCCGACCUGCACGAAUGGCGUAAUGAUGGCCAGGCUGUCUCCACCCGAGACUCAGUGAAAUUGAACUCGCUGUGAAGAUGCAGUGUACCCGCGGCAAGACGGAAAGACCCCGUGAACCUUUACUAUAGCUUGACACUGAACACUGGUCCUUGAUGUGUAGGAUAGGUGGGAGGCUUUGAAGUGUGGACGCCAGUCUGCAUGGAGCCAUCCUUGAAAUACCACCCUUUAAUGGCUGGUGUUCUAACGUGGGCCCCUGAUCGGGGUUGCGGACAGUGUCUGGUGGGUAGUUUGACUGGGGCGGUCUCCUCCUAAAGAGUAACGGAGGAGCACGAAGGUCAGCUAAUCCUGGUCGGACAUCAGGAGGUUAGUGCAAUGGCAUAAGCUGGCUUGACUGCGAGCGUGACGGCGCGAGCAGGUGCGAAAGCAGGUCAUAGUGAUCCGGUGGUUCUGAAUGGAAGGGCCAUCGCUCAACGGAUAAAAGGUACUCCGGGGAUAACAGGCUGAUACCGCCCAAGAGUUCAUAUCGACGGCGGUGUUUGGCACCUCGAUGUCGGCUCAUCACAUCCUGGGGCUGAAGUAGGUCCCAAGGGUAUGGCUGUUCGCCAUUUAAAGUGGUACGCGAGCUGGGUUUAGAACGUCGUGAGACAGUUCGGUCCCUAUCUGCCGUGGGCGCUGGAGAAUUGAGGGGGGCUGCUCCUAGUACGAGAGGACCGGAGUGGACGCAUCACUGGUGUUCGGGUUGUCAUGCCAAUGGCAUUGCCCGGUAGCUAAAUGCGGAAGAGAUAAGUGCUGAAAGCAUCUAAGCACGAAACUUGCCCCGAGAUGAGUUCUCCCUGACUCCCUGAGAGUCCUGAAGGAACGUUGAAGACGACGACGUUGAUAGGCCGGGUGUGUAAGCGCAGCGAUGCGUUGAGCUAACCGGUACUAAUGAACCGUGAGGCUUAACCUUACAACGCCGAAG